AUUGAACGCUGGCGGCAGGCCUAACACAUGCAAGUCGAGCGAGCGGCGGACGGGUGAGUAAUGUCUGGGAAACUGCCUGAUGGAGGGGGAUAACUACUGGAAACGGUAGCUAAUACCGCAUACCAUCAGAUGUGCCCAGAUGUGAUUAUCUGGUAGGUGGGGUAACGGCUCACCUGGGCGACGAUCCCUAGCUGGUCUGAGAGGGUGACCAGCAACACGGGAACGGAGACACGCUGCAGACUCCUACGGGAGGCACCAGUGGGGAAUAUUGCACAAUGGGCGCAAGCCUGAUGCAGCCAGGCCGAGUGUGUGAAGAAGGCCUUCGGGUUGUAAAGCACUUUAAGCGGGGAGGCGGUACCCGCAGAAGAAGCACCGGCUAACUCCGUGCCAGCAGCCGCGGUAAUUC
rnacentral:rRNA from 1 species